CUACGUGCCAGCAGCCGCGGUAAUACGGAGGGUGCGAGCGUUAAUCGGAAUAACUGGGCGUAAAGGGCACGCAGGCGGUGACUUAAGUGAGGUGUGAAAGCCCCGGGCUUAGCCUGGGAAUUGCAUUUCAUACUGGGUCGCUAGAGUACUUUAGGGAGGGGUAGAAUUCCACGUGUAGCGGUGAAAUGCGUAGAGAUGUGGAGGAAUACCGAAGGCGAAGGCAGCCCCUUGGGAAUGUACUGACGCUCAUGUGCGAAAGCGUGGGGAGCAAACAGGAUUAGAUACCCUGGUAGUCCACGCUGUAAACGAUGUCGAUUUGGGGGUUGAGCUUUAAGCUUGGCGCCCGUAGCUAACGUGAUAAAUCGACCGCCUGGGGAGUACGGCCGCAAGGUUAAAACUCAAAUGAAUUGACGGGGGCCCGCACAAGCGGUGGAGCAUGUGGUUUAAUUCGAUGCAACGCGAAGAACCUUACCUACUCUUGACAUCCAGAGAACAUUC
rnacentral:rRNA from 1 species